rnacentral:rRNA from 1 species
UACGGAGGAUCCGAGCGUUAUCCGGAUUUAUUGGGUUUAAAGGGUGCGUAGGCGGACCCUUAAGUCAGUGGUGAAAGUUUGCAGCUCAACUGUAAAAUUGCCAUUGAAACUGAGGGUCUUGAGUGUAAAUGAGGUAGGCGGAAUGUGUUGUGUAGCGGUGAAAUGCUUAGAUAUAACACAGAACACCGAUUGCGAAGGCAGCUUACUAAACUGUUACUGACGCUGAUGCACGAAAGCGUGGGGAGCGAACAGG